GAGUUUGAUCAUGGCUCAGAACGAACGCUGGCGGUAUGCUUAACACAUGCAAGUCGAACGAAUUAAUCUAGCUUGCUAGAUUAGUUAGUGGCAAACGGGUGAGUAACACGUGGGAAUCUACCCAGUAGUACGGAAUAACAGUUAGAAAUGACUGCUAAUACCGUAUAGUAUCGAGAGAUUAAAGAUUUAUCGCUACUGGAUGAGCCCGCGUCAGAUUAGGUAGUUGGUGGGGUAAUGGCCUACCAAGCCCGAGAUCUGUAGCUGGUCUGAGAGGAUGAUCAGCCACACUGGAACUGAGACACGGUCCAGACUCCUACGGGAGGCAGCAGUGAGGAAUAUUGGACAAUGGGCGAAAGCCUGAUCCAGCAAUACCGCGUGAGUGAAGAAGGCCUUAGGGUUGUAAAGCUCUUUCAGCAGGGAAAAUAAUGAUGGUACCUGCAAAAGAAGUCCCGGCUAACUCCGUGCCAGCAGCCGCGGUAAUACGGAGGGGACUAGCGUUGUUCGGAUUUACUGGGCGUAAAGAGCGCGUAGGCGGUUUAGUAAGUUAGAAGUGAAAGCCCAGGGCUCAACCCUGGAACUGC
rnacentral:rRNA from 1 species